UUUGCUGCUUUGCAAAAUUGAUUCUACAGAAGCUCUCCGAAAAAACACGGAGGGUUUAAAUGAAAAUUUUGAACUGUCUAUUUUGCCCUCAUUCUUUCCUAAAAAUCACACUGUACCCAGCAGCCUUAUCUCUUCCUUUCAUUGCAGAUGCGAUUGUUCCCUCUCUGUCAUUCUCCUCUGCUGCUCCUUUCUUUGCCGUCAAAUCCCUAACCCUAAUCCUCAUCGGCACAAAUUGGGAGAGAAGCCCUCUACUUCUCCUCCCUUCGUCUUUGAGAAGCAUCAUCAUAAAUACUAGAGGAGCUAUUUCUGAUUGUCUUCCCAUCCUUCCCUCUCUACGGUCAAGUAUUCAAGCAUUCUUCUGGUCUUCUUCAAAAACUUGGUAGUGCAGCAUCGUUCUCCAAUUCUAAAAGGUAAGGUGAUAUCCUGGAGGGCUGGAGGAGUUUUAAACGGAAAUGUUAUGCAAAGCGUUGAUCAAGAAGAUGAACGAUUGAGAAGUUUGAAAGACGAGUUGGGUGUUCAAGCUUACAAGCUAAUAUUGAAUACACUCUAGUCCAUCUACUUAGCAUUUAGUUGCAAAUUUGUAUUGACCUUAAUACAUUUUGUGUAAUGUUUCCCAUUGACCAUGGUGGGGGAAUGUUUUGUGUAAUAUUCUCAACUCAUUUGUAUAAUAUUUAAGGGUUUAAGGUAAUUUUUUAUUUGGUCCAAGCAAAUAUAUAACCAAACAAAUUACAAAAAA